GCAUCGGUGGUUCAGUGGUAGAAUUCUCGCCUGCCACGCGGGUGACCCGGGUUCGAUUCCCGGCCGAUGCA
rfam:Strongylocentrotus purpuratus Contig104557_fixed, whole genome shotgun sequence.